GACCUUUUUCGGAAGGUAUGCUUAAAGAGGGGCUUGCGUCACAUUACGUUAGUUGGCAGGGUAAAGGCCUACCAAGACUAUGAUGUGUAGCUGGACUGAGAGGUUGAACAGCCACAUUGGGACUGAGACACGGCCCAAACUCCUACGGGAGGCAGCAGUAGGGAAUUUUCGGCAAUGGAGGAAACUCUGACCGAGCAACGCCGCGUGAACGAUGAAGUAUUUCGGUAUGUAAAGUUCUUUUAUUGAAGAAGAAAAAAUAGUGGAAAAACUAUCUUGACGAUAUUCAAUGAAUAAGCCCCGGCAAACUAUGUGCCAGCAGCCGCGGUAAUACAUAGGGGGCGAGCGUUAUCCGGAAUUAUUGGGCGUAAAGGGUGCGUAGGCGGUUUAAUAAGUCUAUAGUUUAAUUUCAGUGCUUAACACUGUCCUGCUAUAGAAACUAUUAGACUAGAGUGAGAUAGAGGCAAGUGGAAUUCCAUGUGUAGCGGUAAAAUGCGUAAAUAUAUGGAGGAACACCAGAGGCGUAGGCGGCUUGCUGGGUCUUUACUGACGCUGAGGCACGAAAGCGUGGGGAGCAAACAGGAUUAGAUACCCUGGUAGUCCACGCCGUAAACGAUGAGUACUAAGUGUCGGGAUUACUCGGUACUGAAGUUAACACAUUAAGUACUCCGCCUGAGUAGUACGUACGCAAGUAUGAAAACUUAAAGGAAUUGACGGGACUCCGCACAAGCGGUGGAUCAUGUUGUUUAAUUUGAAGAUACACGAAAAACCUUACCAGGUCUUGACAUACUCUGCAAAGCUAUAGCAAUAUAGUGGAGGUUAUCAGGGAUACAGGUGGUGCAUGGUUGUCGUCAGCUCGUGUCGUGAGAUGUUAGGUUAAGUCCUAAAACGAGCGCAACCCUUGUCAUUAGUUGCCAGCAUGUCAUGAUGGGCACUUUAAUGAGACUGCCAAUGAAAAAUUGGAGGAAGGUGAGGAUCACGUCAAAUCAUCAUGCCCCUUAUGAUCUGGGCUACAAACGUGAUACAAUGGCUGUUACAAAGAGUAGCUGAAACGCAAGUUUAUAGCCAAUCUCAUAAAAGCAGUCUCAGUUCGGAUUGAAGUCUGCAACUCGACUUCAUGAAGUUGGAAUCGCUAGU
rnacentral:rRNA from 1 species